rnacentral:rRNA from 1 species
GACGAACGCUGGCGGCGUGCCUAAUACAUGCAAGUAGAACGCACAGUUUAUACCGUAGCUUGCUACACCAUAGACUGUGAGUUGCGAACGGGUGAGUAACGCGUAGGUAACCUGCCUGGUAGCGGGGGAUAACUAUUGGAAACGAUAGCUAAUACCGCAUAAUAUUAAUUAUUGCAUGAUAAUUAAUUGAAAGGUGCAAUUGCACCACUACCAGAUGGACCUGCGUUGUAUUAGCUAGUAGGUGAGGUAACGGCUCACCUAGGCGACGAUACAUAGCCGACCUGACAGGGCGAUCCGCCACACUGGGACUGAGACACGGCCCAGACUCCUACGGGAGGCAGCAGUAGGGAAUCUUCGGCAAUGGACGAAAGUCUGACCGAGCAACGACGCGUGAGUGAUGAAGGUUUUCGGAUCGUAAAGAUCUGUUGUAAGAGAAGAACGGGUGUGAGAGUGGAAAGUUCACACUGUGACGGCAUCUUACCAGAAAGGGACGGCUCACUACGUG